GUGCCCUCAUGUGUCAGGUGUUGCUGUGUGAUUUCCAUCUUUCCAGUGUUUUUCCGUUCCUAUCCCUCACCCGUCCUCUCCACACCUCACUCCCACCUGCACCUCAUCCUCUCGUCAGUGUGUGUGUGUGUCUAUAGUCUUUGUGCUCCUCUUGUCUUUGUCAGUUCGUUCCUGUGUUCAGUGUUUCAGCCCAGAAUCCUCCAGUGCUAUCUAGUGUUUGACCUCACGUGAGCUGUGACCACUGUUUUUGGGACGCUCCUGUUCUUUACUGAGCUGACUGCUGCUAGCGCCCAGGCUAACGAUGACUUCGCGGUGCGCGAGGUUCGCAGGAUGACGUCACACAGGUUACCGUUCCAUUUGGUUGAUUUGGAUGAUGCAUCGGAGGCCGAGUGGGGAAGACGACGAAAACGACUAAACACAAUGUGAAUGAAACGGAACAAUCACAUCGUCCAUGAAUCUCAGUACAGCCAUAUGCUGGAUGUUUAGUAACGAGGACAAACAACUCCCAUAAUCCCACUGUACUUCAUGAUGUCAUCAAACACUUGUUUUGAUUCUUUUCCAAAGAGGGUUUAAUAAAACAAGCUCGGCGACUUUCACGUCACAAGCAUGAAAACAAAUAAUCACAAUAACAAGAAUGAUCUUUUGAUGCAAUUAAAAAUAACUGACGGA